UAUAUUAUAUGUGCUCAAACAGCUAAACACAACCAUCACUUGGUUUUGACCAAUAACGCUGUGAGACCCAAGUUUAUUUCACACCAAAUCAUUUAGCAAAAUGUUGCCGUCAUUCAUAGCACUUUCAGGGUUGCAAAAACGUGAGGGGCACCGCACUGCCUUUUUUGUUGAAGCCUACUAUUUAAAAAAGAGCAGUUUGUUGUGCUGUUGUUGCUAGGCAACCACUGAAUCAGCUGUGACGUUGCUAUUAAAGGGAAAUGUCUGGAUUUUUAGACCUGUAUAAGUCCAAAUUUGUACUUAAGACAAUUAAAGAUCAAAAUCAGUCCAGCAUUAAGUCAGAACCGGCACUUUUCUGCUCGGAGUUGAAAUUUUUUCAAAGUGCUCCUACCAAAACGUGAGGCACAGUGGGUGUCUAAAAGGCUGCUCUAAGCUGUCUCACUUCGGUCCCUCUGAGAACUGAGGUUUCAAAGAAACUGGACGUUCUCCUUCGGUCCCUCUGAGAACUGAGGUUUCAAAGAGACUGGACGUUCCCCUUCGGUCACUUCGUGAGACACAGCUCACAUAUGGAGAUGUUGAAAAGGUGAAUGUGAAAAGGCUAUAAAGCAACCUGCGUCUUGCCCAGUGAAACCCCAUAGGCAAAGCCUACAUGCCACCAGGCCCUGUUCGCAAAACGACGGUUUUACUGCGCAAACAACGCUUUAUCCAGUAUAGCAGUCGAAAAUCCGUCCGCUCACUGGGCAAGACGGGCAGGUCUAAUGCCAUUGUUCAUGGAUGGUGCCAGAUAGCUAGCUAGGGACUGCUCAACACUGGGGCAUUGAUGCCAGGCACAUUUGUUGGUUGUUUCCAUGUUCUGGAACAGAUGGAAGCCUAAAGUUGGGCCUCGAGCUGAGUAGGAUCUGUCCCAUGUUGCUGACGCAUAGCAGUGACAUCAUCAACUUAGUCAGGGAAGGGUGGAAUUCCAUGCCAGGAUAAAGACUGCAUCUCGGGGAGGAGUUUGCCAUCCAUCCAAUUCCUUUAUGGUGGUGCAGGGGCUACUGACCAAUCAACCCCUAGGUGUACUGCAGCCCUGAGGCAGGUGUCCAGAGAAUCUGGCCUAGCCUGUAGUGUGCUGGCCGUCUGGAGAGGAGAGGAGAGGCUAGGAGAGGAGAGGCUGUAGUGUGCUGGCCGUCUGGAGAGGAGAGGCUGUAGUGUGCUGGCCGUCUGGAGAGGAGAGGAGAGGAUGAGCCUGUAGUGUGCUGGCCGUCUGGAGAGGAAAGGAUGAGGAGAGGAGAGGAUGGAGAGAGGA
ensembl:lncRNA